rnacentral:lncRNA from 1 species
CACGAGUGCGAGAUCUAUUUAUAGAGUACAGGGAAGGGUAAAAUGGUAAAAUUGGUGUAAGCGCAUGCAUUUGGCGUGGUCGAAGGGUAUAUCAGGAAUUUCAUCUUCACGCGGGAAGUCUUCCGCGUUUCUGGCGAUCCCUCUGAUGGAGGUGAUCUCUCUGGCGUGGAUGACUUCUCUGGUGUGGAGGACUUCUCUGACGAGGGUGACUUCUCUGGCAAGAGCCAUUCCUCUGGUGGAUGAGUUGUCUCUGAUGGAUGAAAUCCCUCUGGUAAGAAUGAUUCUUCUGACCAGUAUGAUUCCUCUGGUGAGGAUGAUUCCUCUGAUUUGUAUCCUUUCUUUACUCUGC